rnacentral:rRNA from 1 species
UACGGAGGGGGCUAGCGUUGUUCGGAAUUACUGGGCGUAAAGCGCACGUAGGCGGCUUUGUAAGUUAGAGGUGAAAGCCCGGGGCUCAACUCCGGAAUUGCCUUUAAGACUGCAUCGCUAGAAUUGUGGAGAGGUAAGUGGAAUUCCGAGUGUAGAGGUGAAAUUCGUAGAUAUUCGGAAGAACACCAGUGGCGAAGGCGACUUACUGGACACAUAUUGACGCUGAGGUGCGAAAAGCGUGGGGAGCAAACA